rnacentral:lncRNA from 1 species
CAUUAUCUACCAAUUAGACAAUCAAGGGGAGUGUUAUAAAUGUAUUUACAUUAUAAUGAAUGUCUAUCAAAAUCUAUCAAGAUCUACUUUGAUAUCUAUUAGGAUUUGAAACAUCCAUCUUUUACUCAGAGUAGAAGUAAAUUUCCCCUAUAAAUUUUCUUUUACUCAGAGUAGAAGUAAAUUUCCCCUAUAAAUAGAAGGGUUUUGUUCAUUGUAUUUACAAUCUGAUGAUCUUUCAUCCCUCAAGAGAAAAAAUAAGAAAUACUCUCUCUAUUCUCUCUAAUCUUGUUCUUUAUUCUUUCUUGUUUUAUAAGAUUUUUCUUGUUUAUCCUUUUUAAAUACACUACACACAACCCACAAUACAUACUAACACAAAAAAAAUCUGAUUUUUCUUAUCUCUUUCCUCUCAAACACACACAUAAAAAUCUGAUUUUACUCUCUCUCUCAAAAAUUUCCAAAGCCUUUUUUCUUCUCUUUCUCUCUAUCUUCACUGCCAAAUCAGAUCCGGCGACCUCUCCGGCGAACACCAUUACCACUGCAACAUCAUUGUCUUCUCCGCCACUCCAGACCUGGCCGGAAAGUAACUCACUCCGGUGGAGUCUUUUCCUUUAUAUAUUAUUCUUAUUAUUUUAGAGAGUUUAUUUUCCACAGGUUAAAUUCAUUGUGUGCAAUUGUUUUCUAGUUUCAACUUGGCAUUAUUGAGAAUUUGAUCAUUCUGUUUUGGUAUGUUAUAUUUUAAAGUUUUGAUGGAUUUUUGAAGAAAUAUGGCUUUGAACUUUUUCUCUUAUUAAGGAUACCAACAAAAAAAAUAUAUAAACAUUCUUAUCUUUAUUUAGCUGGUAGUGGUAAUGUAAUAUUGAUCCUAACUCCUAAGUCUUAAUAGAUGGAUUUUGGUAUUCAAAUACUACAACCUUGGAAGUAGCCUGCUGAUUAUUGAUUUAGUGAAGUUGUUAAAAUUAGAUAAUAUUAUGCAGUAUUUUCUUGUUAAUAUUCAAGUCUUUGUUUUUAAAAUAGAUUAAUAUGUAUGUUAUAUGCCUCUUAAAGGUUUACCUUUUAUUGUUUCAUUUGAUUUUGUAUUUGUAGGCCAAUGAAAUUAUCUCUCCGUUCAGAUAUUUGAGGUCAUCCUAUUACAAAGACGGACUUUAUUUUCUUAAAAUUUUGUGCAUAAUUUGUUUUUUUUUUUUUUUUUUUUUUUUUUUUUUUUUUUUUUUUUUUUUGUAUAUUUUUGAGUUGUCAGAUUGAUUCAGCUAUGUUGGAUGGUUCUUCGUUUUUUGCUACUGUUUGAAUACCCUUUUAGAAUAGGCCAAAUCCAUCGAUAGCCUCUUAAACUUGUCCCUAAAAUUCACUUAGGUCUCUAAACUAAGGCAUUUACCUAUUAAAUUCCUAAGCCCCCAAUUUGGUUUCAAUUGAGCAUUUUUUUCCCAAUCAACAGCACGUUCAAGUGUGUGUAAUUCACACCUGAUGAUGUGGCAAAAAGGACUAAUUAGAAGCUGACACAUGACAUUAUGAAUCCAAUAAUUAUUAAAAAAAAUUUAAAAAAAUAAAAUAAAAUGAGGUACCCUUCAACAUCCCCACCCCCACCCCACCGCUUGUUCUUCUUCUCCAUUUCUUGCCAUCUUCUCCAUCUUCCAUUUUUUUUUAAUAUCUAAUUUAAUCAAUAAUAAAAAGAAAAAUAAAAGGAUGUUUUCCACUACCUUCCCCUCCCCCCCACCCCCCGCACGUGACCCCCGCUCCAUCUUAUCAUCUUGUUCUCCAUUUCUAAAAAAAAUAAAAUUGAUUCACAUCAAGUUAGUCGGAAAAAAUGGAGUUCGUCGGAAUUAAAUUUACUUCUCAAAAAUAUAUCAAAUUUGCAAAGAGAAAUGUAUUAAUAUGCUAAAAAGUUCAUGACUUUUAUUGUAUCUUUUUAAUUAAAAAUUGUUAAUUGUUAAGAAUUUAAAAAGAAAAAAAAAAUAGAGAUGAAGAGUGAAGAAGAUGGGUAAGAAUGAAGAAGAUGGUUGGGGUCUUUGUGGGGGUGGGGGGUGCGGGGGGAGGUCAAGGGAGGCUGAUUUGCUGGUAUUUUUUUUUUUUUUAAAUUAAAAUUUGUUAUUAUUAAAAGUAUAUUAAAUAAGUUAAAAUGUGAUUUUUUUUACCAAAAAGGAAAAAAGAAAAAUUACCAUUUGAGAUCCAUUCACGUCCUUGCUAAAUCAGCAUUUUGUGCCUGAUAGGUAUUAAUUUUAGCACUUGAGAGGUCUGAUAUGUACAAGUCUUAAUUUAAGGACUUAAGUGAAUUUUAGAGAUAAGUUUGAGGUCUUAUCGAUGGAUUUGACCUUUAGAAUAUUGUUAUUAAUUUCAUGGUUAUCUUGGUUAGCUACUAAUUAUUGUGUUUGACAAGAUCCAUUAUUUUCAACUUGUGACUAAUAAUAAUCAUUUCUGUUGUUGAAUUUUGUUACUUGUUUUUGACUUUUUUCUUUUUAUAUAUAAAUAUAGUAUUUUGUUAAUAUUAUAUUACUUUUUAUGAAAAAUGAUCUUACAUUGAUUUAACUCAUGCCUGCCUAUCUUGACUUUCUUGUCACUACUUUGAAAUGCCUUAAGGACUAAUAUGCUUUCUUGUUGACUUUUUUGUAAGUUCGUUAAAUUGAUUUGAACAAAAUACUAUACUUGGCCGAUGAAGAAAUUAUCCGUUGAUUUUCAAGGCCUUCACAAAUAAAAGAGGGAUAUUAUGUAUACAAUUACAUAAUAAAAAUAAAUAUUUUGGGCAAUGAUGAAAUUGUUAUAACUUUUUUUUGAAAAUUUUAUCUGAACUCGCUUUUUUAAUAAAAAUUAUAUUUUUUAAAUACAUAUAUGUGCAAAUGUCUUUUUUUAUAAUUUAUUUGUUACUAACAUUUUUAUUACAAGUGUUUGUACAGAUUAUCGGGAAUACUCGUCGGGAAUGAUAUUCAAAGAAGAGUUUGAAUUUUUUUUUGUAUUUGUAUUUUUUUUAUUCUUAUUAUUAUACAAAUAUUAAUUAUAGUGAAACUUUAUUUUUGGGGCGUUGGGCCGGGAUGUUCUUUACUUAUACAAUCCUUACCACGCGUUUAGGCAAAUUUAAUCCGUCAAUAUUUAUUCAAAAAAAUAAAGAGUUAAAUUAAUUUAGAUAUUUAAUCAAAUAAAAAAUUAAAAAUACUUUAUUUUAUGUAUUCUUUUUUUCAUUUUUAGGUACUUUUGGUUACAUGUCUUUACAUAUUUUUGCAUUCAUAUUUGUAUAUUUUUAUGAUAACAUAUUUAGUUUAUACACACUUUAAAUGUAGAUUAUUUAUAUUAUUUUAAUACACUUUUAUAUUUGUAUAUAUAAAUAUUUAUUUUUUCUUUUUUUCUUUAAUAAACCUAAAUUUGGCCGGAAACUACAUUUGUGAUUCUGAAGGGUGCUUAAUCCCUUUCCUUCAAAAUAAUUUGAACCCUUAUCUAGAUUUUAAAUUGGUUCGUAGAUUAGAAUAAAGUCAUACUUGUUAAACAAAUAAAUAGGUUUCCUAUUUUUCCUUAAAAAUUAGGUGGCGACUCUAUAUAAAAUUAAUUCUUUUUGAAUUCAUAAUGUCGAGCUCAUUUUGAUCUUAGGUAAAAAUCGGGUUUGACAGAAUGACCACUUUGAUGGAGAAACCCAAUGUACUUCGAAUAAUUUCUCUGGUAUUCAAAACUAGGGCAAAUUUUUUGAAACAGUUCAAAGACGUUCUCUAAUGGCCUUUAAGAGCACAAAUCAAUAGCUCUUCAAAAUCCAAAUCUCAUUGACAUUAGUGCCUAGCCGGCCUACCUUAAGAUCCUUACCCAAUUUUGGUGCAAGAAUACCUACCUUCUUCUUUUGAACGUCAUAAAUCAUUAAAUUUUUUGGCGUAUCUAUUUUCACUUUCAA